rnacentral:rRNA from 1 species
GACCAGACUCCUACGGGAGGCAGCAGUGGGGAAUAUUGCACAAUGGGGGAAACCCUGAUGCAGCAACGCCGCGUGAGUGAAGAAGUCAUUCGUGAUGUAAAGCUCUCUCAGCAGGGAAGAAAAUGACGGCACCUGAGUAAGAAGCCCCGGCUAACUACGUGCCAGCACCCGCGGUAAUACGUAGGGGGCAAGCGUUAUCCGGGUUUACUGGGUGUAAAGGGAGCGUAGACGGCCAGACAAGUCUGAAGUGAGAAGCCAGCGGUUAACGUUGGAAGUGCGUUGGAGACUGCCGGGCUGGAGUGCAGGAGGGGCAGGCGGAAUUCCUAGUGUAGCGGUGAAAUGCGUAGAUAUUAGGAGGAACACCAGUGG